rnacentral:rRNA from 1 species
GACGAACGCUGGCGGCGUGCCUAAUACAUGCAAGUAGAACGCUGACUACUUUAGCUUGCUAGAGUAGAAGGAGUUGCGAACGGGUGAGUAACGCGUAGGUAACCUGCCUACUAGCGGGGGAUAACUAUUGGAAACGAUAGCUAAUACCGCAUAACAGUGUUUAACACAUGUUAGAUGCUUGAAAGAUGCAAUUGCAUCACUAGUAGAUGGACCUGCGUUGUAUUAGCUAGUUGGUGGGGUAACGGCCCACCAAGGCGACGAUACAUAGCCGACCUGGGAGGGUGAUCGGCCACAGUGGGACUGAGACACGGCCCAGACUCCUACGGGAGGCAGCAGUAGGGAAUCUUCGGCAAUGGGGGCAACCCUGACCGAGCAACGCCGCGUGAGUGAAGAAGGUUUUCGGAUCGUAAAGCUCUGUUGUAAGAGAAGAACGUGUGUGAGAGUGGAAAGUUCACACAGUGACGGCAACUUACCAGAAAGGGACGGCUAACUACGUGCCAGCAGCCGCCGUAA